rnacentral:rRNA from 1 species
GGUGAACUCCACAUACGCAUCCUUUGCUGAGGAUACGGUUAACGGAGCGAAAGCGACGUUCAACCGCAAAAGAAGCAGAGGGGGCUUAGUGGUGGGGUGACUGCGUACCUUUUGUAUAAUGGGUCAGCGACUUAUAUUCUGUAGCAAGGUUAACCGAAUAGGGGAGCCGGAGGGAAACCGAGUCUUAACCGGGCGUUAAGUUGCAGGGUAUAGACCCGAAACCCGGUGAUCUAGCCAUGGGCAGGUUGAAGGUUGGGUAACACUAACUGGAGGACCGAACCGACUAAUGUUGAAAAAUUAGCGGAUGACCUGUGGCUGGGGGUGAAAGGCCAAUCAAACCGGGAGAUAGCUGGUUCUCCCCGAAAGCUAUUUAGGUAGCGCCUCGUGAAUUCAUCUCCGGGGGUAGAGCACUGUUUCGGCUAGGGGGCCAUCCCGGCUUACCAACCCGAUGCAAACUGCGAAUACCGGAGAAUGUUAUCACGGGAGACACACGGCGGGUGCUAACGUCCGUCGUGAAGAGGGAAACAACCCAGACCGCCAGCUAAGGUCCCAAAGUCAUGGUUAAGUGGGAAACGAUGUGGGAAGGCCCAGACAGCCAGGAUGUUGGCUUAGAAGCAGCCAUCAUUUAAAGAAAGCGUAAUAGCUCACUGGUCGAGUCGGCCUGCGCGGAAGAUGUAACGGGGCUAAACCAUGCACCGAAGCUGCGGCAGCGAACGUAUCACUUAAAGCGAUUCAGCGGGUUACGAUUGACGGAGCGAAGCGACGUCAAAGCGUAUACAAAGUCGAGUCGGUUUAAGGAUACGUUCGUUGGGUAGGGGAGCGUUCUGUAAGCCUGUGAA